UGUCCAGUAGCACCUUAGAGACCAACUAAAUUUGUUCUGGGUAUAAGCUUUCGUGUUUUUAUACCCAGAACAAACUUAGUUGGUCUCUAAGAUGCUACUAGACG